rnacentral:rRNA from 1 species
AACGCUAGCUACAGGCUUAACACAUGCAAGUUGAGGGGCAGCAUGGUCUUAGCUUGCUAAGGCCGAUGGCGACCGGCGCACGGGUGAGUAACACGUAUCCAACCUGCCGUCUACUCUUGGACAGCCUUCUGAAAGGAAGAUUAAUACGAGAUGGCAUCACGAGUCCGCAUGUUCACAUGAUUAAAGGUAUUCCGGUAGACGAUGGGGAUGCGUUCCAUUAGAUAGUAGGCGGGGUAACGGCCCACCUAGUCUUCGAUGGAUAGGGGUUCUGAGAGGAAGGUCCCCCACAUUGGAACUGAGACACGGUCCAAACUCCUACGGGAGGCAGCAGUGAGGAAUAUUGGUCAAUGGGCGAGAGCCUGAACCAGCCAAGUAGCGUGAAGGAUGACUGCCCUAUGGGUUGUAAACUUCUUUUAUAAAGGAAUAAAGUCGGGUAUGUAUACCCGUUUGCAUGUACUUUAUGAAUAAGGAUCGGCUAACUCCGUGCCAGCAGCCGCGGUAAUACGGAGGAUCCGAGCGUUAUCCGGAUUUAUUGGGUUUAAAGGGAGCGUAGAUGGAUGUUUAAGUCAGUUGUGAAAGUUUGCGGCUCAACCGUAAAAUUGCAGUUGAUACUGGAUAUCUUGAGUGCAGUUGAGGCAGGCGGAAUUCGUGGUGUAGCGGUGAAAUGCUUAGAUAUCACGAAGAACUCCGAUUG